rnacentral:rRNA from 1 species
UGGGGAAUUUUCCGCAAUGGGCGCAAGCCUGACGGAGCAACGCCGCGUGAGGGAGGAAGGUCUGUGGAUUGUAAACCUCUUUUCUCUAGGAAGAAGAAUUGACGGUACUAGAGGAAUCAGCAUCGGCUAACUCCGUGCCAGCAGCCGCGGUAAGACGGAGGAUGCAAGCGUUAUCCGGAAUUAUUGGGCGUAAAGCGUCCGUAGGCGGCUUUGUAAGUCAGUUGUUAAAGACCGGGGCUUAACCCUGGGAGAGCAGCUGAGACUGUGAGGCUUGAGCGUGGUAGGGGUAGAGGGAAUUCCUAGUGUAGCGGUGAAAUGCGUAGAUAUUAGGAAGAACACCAGUGGCGAAGGCGCUCUACUGGGCCAUGACUGACGCUGAUGGACGAAAGCUAGGGGAGCGAAAGGGAUUAGAUACCCCCGUAGUCC